rnacentral:tRNA from 1 species
ACCUGGCUGGCUCAGUCGGUAGAGCACGUGACUCUUGAUCUCGGGGUUGUAGGUUCAAGCCCCACAUUGGGUG